rnacentral:rRNA from 1 species
AUGGAGGCGCUUUUUGAGAUUCGUGCUGAGGAGACUCGCUUACGUGGUGCUGGUUUGCUGGAGGUUCCCUCUGUGCUCGCUAUUCGGUCUUCUUCCACGCCACCUGCUGCACCGACCCCUUCUCGCUCGAGUGCUCCGCCGCUCUUGCCCACUCCUUCUGGAGGCUCAGGUCGCCCCCGUCCACAUUGCGAUUACUGCAAAAAUGAUGGUCAUAUUGAGUCCCAGUGCUACACGAAGAGGAAACACCUGCGCAAGGCGCGAUCAUCCUCUUCAGGGGCUUCGUCUUCUACCUCGACAGCUUCAGCCAUUGCUUUGACCGAGCAGGAUAUUCUGAGACUUAAGCGUCUGCUCACGGCUUCAAGUUCUUCCUCGACGGGUACUGUUGGUUCUGUGACCGAUGCUUCCCGCACUGAGCAACUGCCCUCUACACAGUCAGGACCGUCACACGCACACUCUGGUUGGGGCUGGCCCUCGCCGCCGUGA